rnacentral:rRNA from 1 species
UCAGUGUUUGGUACCUUGUUCAGGACGAACGCUGGCGGCAUGCCUAAUACAUGCAAGUCGAGCGAACAGAUGAAGUGCUUGCACUUCUGACGUUAGCGGCGAACGGGUGAGUAACACGUAAGGAAUCUACCUAUAAGCGGGGGAUAACAUUCGGAAACGGGUGCUAAUACCGCAUAAUAUCUUCUUCCGCAUGGAAGAAGAUUGAAAGACGGCUCUGCUGUCACUUAUAGAUGACCUUGCGGUGCAUUAGUUAGUUGGUGGGGUAACGGCCUACCAAGACGAUGAUGCAUAGCCGACCUGAGAGGGUGAUCGGCCACAUUGGGACUGAGACACGGCCCAAACUCCUACGGGAGGCAGCAGUAGGGAAUCUUCCGCAAUGGGCGAAAGCCUGACGGAGCAAUGCCGCGUGAGUGAAGAAGGCCUUCGGGUCGUAAAACUCUGUUAUAAGAGAAGAACAAAUUGUAGAGUAACUGCUACAGUCUUGACGGUAUCUUAUCAGAAAGCCACGGCUAACUACGUGCCAGCAGCCGCGGUAAUACGUAGGUGGCAAGCGUUGUCCGGAUUUAUUGGGCGUAAAGGGAGCGCAGGUGGUUUCUUAAGUCUGAUGUGAAAGCCCACGGCUUAACCGUGGAGGGUCAUUGGAAACUGGGAAACUGAGUACAGAAGAGAAUGACUACUU